CCUACUGUAGCUGAAUACCUCAUGGGUGUAAUUUGUAAAUCUAAAAUGGCUAAAAACUUAAAAAUUGGAUACUAAUGGAUCACAAAUCCCUGGGAUGAUUGACCCUAAUGGUAUUCUGAACAAAAAGAGCUUUCAAGCAAACUUGUUGCUGUUUCCAUCACUUCACACUGACUCAACAGACAUUCUAUGCUUCCGACUGACAGUCCUGGAAUCUUAUUAUAUAGAUAAUAAUUAUUCCACUGACUUCACUGAAAUUAUACCAGGAACAAAUCUGGCCUUUUGUACAAUAUAUAAACCUUCCAGUUGUAUUUUCAAAUUGCAAGUACUUUCUGCAACAGAGAACUACAUUCUGCCUAUGCAUAAAGAAAUUGGCAAAGACAAAAACAGGCUGGCAACUGUGUAAAACAACAACUGUGUAGAGACAGCAUAGAAAUAAAGAAAGAGUUGUCAUUACUUUCCUGCGGUUGGUCCAAUGCACAAUUCAGAGACACUUACAGUCUCUUCUAUAACUAAGAGGAAGAAACAAUUUUCUACCAUAUGAAACAACGGCUAGUGCAAAGGGUCAACAAGCACUACAACUGCCUGUAUGGAUCUGGAGCGCUGAAGGGUGUAAAGAAGACUCAAGUGUAGAAUGGGAUCCUGACUGCCAUUAACUCGUCAUGUAAGAGAUAUAUGGAAUCACUCAAGCAGAAGGGGAGAUCUCUGACAGCUCACUCAAAGGAAGAUGAGAGAAUGCUACCAUAU